rnacentral:rRNA from 1 species
AGUAAUCCGGUGGGAAGCAGGGGGGCUCCUCCCCCCAAGCCUAAAUACUACUUAAUGACCGAUAGCGUAUAGUACCGUGAGGGAAAGGUGAAAAGAACCCCGGGAGGGGAGUGAAAGAGAACCUGAAACCCUAUGUUUACAAGCAGAGGGAGCGAAAGCGACCUCGUACUUUUUGUAGAACGGGCCGGCGAGUUACUGUGUGCAGCGAGGUUAAGGCGUAGAGCGCCGGAGCCGAAGCGAGAGCGAGUCUGAAGAGGGCGAAAGUUGUGCGCAGUAGACCCGAAACCGGGUGACCUAUCCAUGGACAGGAUGAAGCGGCGGUAAGACGCCGUGGAGGUCCGAACCACACGUAUGUUGAAAAAUGCGGGGAUGAGCUGUGGAUAGCGGAGAAAUUCCAAUCGAACUCGGAGAUAGCUGGUUCUCCCCGAAAUAGCUUUAGGGCUAGCCUCGUUUUAAAUUACCGGGGGUAGAGCACUGAAUGGGCUAGGGGGCCACAAAGCUUACCGAACCCUAUCAAACUUCGAAUACCGGAUAAUUGAUGAACGGGAGUCAGACGGCGGGAGAUAAGUUUCGUCGUCAAAAGGGAAACAGCCCAGAUCUACGACUAAGGUCCCGAAAUCACAGUUAAGUGGAAAAGGAUGUGCAGUUGCACAGACAACCAGGAUGUUGGCUUAGAAGCAGCCACUCAUUUAAAGAGUGCGUAAUAGCUCACUGGUCGAGUGAUUGUGCGCCGAAAAUGUACCGGGGCUAAACUGUGUACCGAAGUCUAGGGAUCGUGAUAAACGAUCGGUAGGGGAGCAACGUGUGCGGGCUGAAGCCGAAGCGGAAGCGACGGUGGACUGCACGGGAGAGAGAAUGCCGGCAUGAGUAGCGAGAGCAAAGUGAGAAUCUUUGCCGUCGAAAGCCUAAGGUUUCCUGAGGAAGGCUCGUCCUCUCAGGGUAAGUCAGGACCUAAGCCGAGGACAAAAGUCGUAGGCGAUGGACAACUGGUUGAUAUUCCAGUACCACCUUUAGCGUUUGACUGAAGCAGUGACACAGAAGGAUAGACAGAGCGCGUGACUGGUAGAGCGCGUCCAAGCGAUGAGGGAGUUAAGUAGUGAAGCACGCUUAACAAUUCUGGGUCGUGAUGGGGACUGAAAAUAAGUAGGGAAGCUGUUGAAUUCACGCUGGCGAGAAAAGCUGCUAAGGAGCGAAAGGGUGCCUGUACCGCAAACCGACACAGGUAGGCGAGGAGAGAAUCCUAAGACGAGCGGGAGAACCCAUGUUAAGGAACUCGGCAAAAUGACCCUGUAACUUCGGGAUAAAGGGAGCCACGAGAGUGGCCGCAGAGAAUAGGCCCAAGCGACUGUUUACCAAAAACACAGGUCUGUGCGAAGUAGAGAUACGACGUAUACGGGCUGACGCCUGCCCAGUGCCGGAAGGUUAAGGGGAAGUGUUAGGGCAACCGAAGCACGGAACUUAAGCCCCGGUGAACGGCGGCCGUAACUAUAACGGUCCUAAGGUAGCGAAAUUCCUUGUCGGGUAAGUUCCGACCCGCACGAAUGGCG